UGGAGAGUCCUGUUGAUUCUGCAUUGAACCCUGAUGGGUCACCAUUAACGGCAUAUCAGUAUUUUGAAAAUAUGAGGAAUUUCCUGGUGCGCCUGUCCAAGAAUUUGGACUUCCUUCCUUCCUUUGAGGCAUCUGAUCCGGAGCAAAUCUGGUUCCCAUUCUUUGAGUACGCUUGUUUGUGCAAUUCUAUCAGAUAAGAAGCCAGAAGAAGUUUCAACGCUUUUUGCUCUUGGAAAAAACAAUAGCUCCAAGCAUUCAUCAUGAUGAAGCAAGAAAGACUGGAAUUUAAAACCAAGAGUAAACUCUUCUGGAAGUUUAAGGAUGAACACAAAGCUAUGUGCAACAAAUUUGUACAAGAAGAAAAUGAAAAUGUUGCUCGGAUAAAGAUAGUGACACAACCAGCUCUUGGAAAAAUUAAUGUGAUGAAAUUGAUUAAGAAAUUCAACAUUCAAUCUGAUGAGUUUAUUUCAAAGAAAGCAUCACGACCUUGAUUGUACUAAUGACUUAAACUCUGUUUCAAGUAGCACAAAGAUAUCUGCCUGCAUAUGAUAUGAUACAUUAUUAAAUUCUAUACAUACAAUAGACAACAAUUCUUGCCAGGAUAAAUUUCUUGAUUACUAGGUAACACCCCAAUCUUCGUUACUACAUAACAUAAAAAGGAAGAGCCUAAGCCACUAAAUUGGACCCUAGUGAUAAAGGAGUUUAGCGAAUAGGUUAUUAUAUUG